rnacentral:rRNA from 1 species
UGGGGAAUAUUGCACAAUGGGCGAAAGCCUGAUGCAGCAACGCCGCGUGAGUGAUGAAGGUCUUCGGAUUGUAAAGCUCUGUCUUUUGGGACGAUAAUGACGGUACCAAAGGAGGAAGCCACGACUAACUACGUGCCAGCAGCCGCGGUAAUACGUAGGUGGCGAGCGCUGUCCGGAUUUACUGGGCGUAAAGGGUGCGUAGGCGGAUGUUUAAGUGAGAUGUGAAAUACCCGGGCUUAACUUGGGUGCUGCAUUUCAAACUGGAUAUCUAGAGUGCAGGAGAGGAGAAUGGAAUUCCUAGUGUAGCGGUGAAAUGCGUAGAGAUUAGGAAGAACACCAGUGGCGAAGGCGAUUCUCUGGACUGUAACUGACGCUGAGGCACGAAAGCGUGGGUAGCAAACAGGAUUAGAUACCCUGGUAGUCCACGCCGUAAACGAUGAGUACUAGGUGUAGGAGGUAUCGACCCCUUCUGUGCCG